UAGGGCAAGCUGAAGCAUGAUGUCGCCAUUGAAAUGGUCAACUUUAUUUUCAUUUGACCUGCAGAUUUGAUGCUAUUGCUUCUGCUGAUGCCUUUGAGAACUUAAAGCCUGCUCCGAUAUAUUCUUAGCCACAUCAAAGAGCUUGAGCGUACCCUCAAGUUAGAGAUUUGGAGCUUGCUGCGCAGUAUAUCUUUAUUAACAAGUUCAAAGCUACAGCCUGGUAUCCAUGAUCUUCAUUAUCCUUUGUUGUGCUGAAGUGAGGAAGCCCUUGGCAAAUUUGAUGUGGAAUCUGAGCCUGCAAAUGCAAUUAAUAUUCAACUUUCAAACAGAAAUUUAAACCAGGAUGGAGCUGCAUUGCUUCAUUGCAGAACAAUUCCACCUGCAACUGGUAGAAUGAACUGUGAGGUAUUCUUUCUGACAAAAGGUUCCUAGAUUCAGGUAAUUUUUGUAAACUAAGAGAAACACAGUUAUCUAUCCUUGAAAAUUUUUUGAGCAUGAGGAUGUAAAUGGUCCACAAUUUAUGAUGUUUCAACUUUCAUGGUAAAAAUAGACUUUAACACGUGUAAAUAGGAGAGAUUCAGCAAUUAAUUGUCCUUAAUUUAUGUAAUUCGUGAUUGCAUAAACUCUAUUGGUCGUUAAUAGAUCCUUGAAAUUAGCAUACUAAAGGAUAGCAGUGGACCCUUUAAGACAAAAUUGGUGCAUCCAUUUGUCAGUAGAACUACUCAUAUCACAUCAUCAUCAUCAUAUAUUGAUUCUGUAUCAUACAUCUUGGUACAUGCUAAAGAAUUGAAGAUUAUUCUAAAUGCCUUUUCUCAAACAAUUAAGGUACUUCAGUAGAUUUAAACUGCAGGUUUUACUCCGUUCUUGCUGCUGUUUCUGUCAUUAUCACAUUAUACCCAUAGAUCUGGAAAUGGCAGACUUGUUACUGCUAAUCUUGGAAGCUAUUUGAGACAAAUAGAUGUGAGAGUUCUAACUAACAGUGGUAUUUCUGACCGUUGAUACUAUCUCGAGAGUGGAAUCGGUGCUGUUGCAUUUGACUGGUUUACGACUGUAAGGAGGGCGAGGUUUGCCUACACCGAUCUCUGGUGUUUGAUGCAUCAUUCUGACAAGGAGAGUCAGAGUCUUCAAAGGCCAAAGUCUCACACUCAUAUGUUGUUACUUCCAAAGUCCCUUCAGGUGCAGUCAUCUUGAGGUGAUUUGGCCAUGUUUGGUGCCUCAUAUUAUACAAGGGCAUAUGAAUAUCUAGCCCCCUCCAUGCCUAGCUAAAAGACAUCUAAAUGAAGACUCCUUUCAGUCAUAUUCUUAUUGCAUGAUUAAGGUGCCCAACAUAUUGCAUGUUCUAUAGGGAAUUUCUCCCUGCUUUCCGUAUUGAAGACUCACAGGUUAGUUUUCCAACACCAGGGCAAGCAAGAAAAUCAUAUAUGGUGGAGGCCUUAUGGAGAAGCCUAGGUUUUUUGGUGCAGCUAGACUACGGACAAUGAUUUCCACUUUGACAGCACGUUUUAAUGUAAUCAAAAUCCAAUAUCGUCAUGACAUGAUGUCUUUGCAAGAGUCGGUAUGUGGGGUAUGGACACCAAGUGCUAAAGAUUUAUCCAUUCCAUGGUGCGGCCAUGAACCACGUGUCAGAACAGUAGAAUGACUAGGUUAAUAGCCUUCACAUCCUAUAAGUCACUAUCUUAGCGUCGGUUGUUUCAGAUAACCAACAAGUGCAUUUCUUUAUUGUAGGGUCUUGUGAAUUGGAAGUGUUAUCUGAACCCAGAUAAUGGAGGCUAUCAAAGUCAUCCCUUUAGUCUUGCUUUUAUGUAGAUCGUUAUCCAUCAUGAUGUUUCGCCCUCUUUUGUCCGGUGCUCUGUUAGUUAUCAGAUGACCACCAAAUAAGAAUAUUUGUUUGAAAGAUGGACCUGUUUCACCUAAAAACUGAAAGGAAAGGAUAUGCAAGUAGGCGUUAGAAAUACUGCUGUUGGAGAGAAACAUGAUGAGUACAUCAUAAUAGUUCCGAGUGCUUAAUCUUUGAUUAUGUGGAAUAUUUAAUAUUAGAAGCAUCAUAAUCAUAUUUUAUUAAAUCGACAACAUUAUUAUUUGAGGGAAGAUUGGCAGUAACUGUUAAACGAAUUGCCAAAGGUGUGUUAUCUUGCGUCAUUAAUGCCUUUGCAUUACUUCAUCUGCCUCAUAACUAUUACAUGAUUCACUUGCUUCACUUGGAAAGGGUCAUUUAAGUUGAACAUUUAAACAAGUUAAGCU